rnacentral:rRNA from 1 species
GACAGAGGUCCCGAGCGUUGUUCGGAUUCAUUGGGCGUAAAGGGUGUGUAGGAGGUUGGGUAAGUCAGGUGUGAAAUCUCACAGCUUAACUGUGAAACUGCGCUUGAUACUGCUCAGCUAGAGGGAUCGGAGGGGGUAACGGAAUUCAUGGUGUAGCAAGUGAAAUGCGUAGAUAUCAUGGAGGAACACCGGUGGCGAAGGCGGUUACCUGGAAGAUUCCUGACUCUGAAACACGAAAGCCAGGGGAGCAAACGGG